AGGGUUUGAUCAUGGCUCAGGAUGAACGCUGGCGGCGUGCUUAACACAUGCAAGUCGAACGAACCUUCGGGUUAGUGGCGGACGGGUGAGUAACGCGUGAGAAUCUGCCCUCAGGAGGGGGAUAACGGUUGGAAACGACCGCUAAUACCCCAUAUGCCUACUGGUGAAAUGAAUUUCGCCUGAGGAUGAGCUCGCGUCUGAUUAGCUUGUUGGUGAGGUAAUGGCUCACCAAGGCUUCGAUCAGUAGCUGGUCUGAGAGGAUGAUCAGCCACACUGGGACUGAGACACGGCCCAGACUCCUACGGGAGGCAGCAGUGGGGAAUUUUCCGCAAUGGGCGAAAGCCUGACGGAGCAACGCCGCGUGAGGGACGAAGGCCUCUGGGCUGUAAACCUCUUUUCUCAAGGAAGAAGAUAUGACGGUACUUGAGGAAUAAGCCACGGCUAAUUCCGUGCCAGCAGCCGCGGUAAUAC
rnacentral:rRNA from 1 species